UACGUAGGUGGCGAGCGUUAUCCGGAAUGAUUGGGCGUAAAGGGUGCGUAGGCGGCCUGCUAAGUCUGGAGUGAAAGGUACCGGCUCAACCGGUACAGGCUCUGGAAACUGGCGGGCUAGAGAGCAGGAGAGGGCGGUGGAACUCCGUGUGUAGCGGUGAAAUGCGUAGAUAUAUGGAAGAACACCAGUGGCGAAAGCGGCUCUCUGGUCUGUAACUGACGCUGAGGUUCGAAAGCGUGGGUAGCAAACAGG
rnacentral:rRNA from 1 species